AAGAAAUAAAAUAUAAUCAUGAAAAGUUAUAAUAAAAAUUGAAUUUUGAUAACCAAUUUAUUUCAUUUCUUACUAAAUUCAAGUAAUGAAAUCACCAAGAUAAAAGACAACCGCAACACAUCAAUUUACAUAAGAGACAUUCAAUAAUUAUUCUAAUAAGUUUAAGAGUUUACUAUAUUCUACAAGUACUAAAUACUAUUUAAUUGAAGUAAGCAUAACAUGGGUUUUCUAUAUUAUUUAAACAAACAAUUUUAUGUGUGAUAAAUGCAAAUAAGUAAAAAUAUGGCUAAAGUUUACAAGUUUAUAUAUGUUAUGAUCAUCUUUCUUUCAUCGUUUCUUGUUUUAAUUGACGGUAAGGCCUUUUAUGAUCAUUUUCAAGUUUUCCUCUUUUAACUUAUACAAAUUUUUUAAUCCCCACUCAAUAACAAUAUUAUAUUAUUGUUUCAUGUUGCAGCAUUUGAUUUUUGUAUUGAUGACAACGAUUGUCCAUAUAUUGGGUGUUCUCCUCCUAAAAAUAUGACGUGCAUUGGAAAUAUUUGCAGUUGCACCUAACAAGUUGAAAGUAAUUAUAUGUGAUUUCAAAGACUAUAAUUGGAUCUUCAUGUUUCUAAUGUUGUUACUUAUAUAAUUUCUCUUACAUUAUAUAUAUAUAUAUAUAUAUAUAUAUAUAU
rnacentral:lncRNA from 1 species